AUACAGCUCAAACCUAAUAUUACUCUUUGUCUUAUCUUGAAUUUCGUUUGGUUUUUUUAUAGUUGGUUCCCAUAUUGUAAAACCCAAGACGACCUCAAGUAGUUGUUUUUAUUUUGGUAAGUAGUCGCUUCAGCAGCGGCUGUUGGGUAGACAUGCUUGUUCGAUUGUUCCUGCCGGUGGAGACGCUCCUAGGGCUCAGCCCCCGCCAAUCGGUUGGCUUUUUGGCCGAUCGGUUAGGUCGUUCCGGUUUUCGGUGCGGUUCUAUCGGGUUUCGGGGGGCCAUUUUUCUUGCCCAUGGGCAUUUGGGUCAGCUUUGGGGUCAAACCGGUGCAAGGGAAAGAAGCCAAUCGGUUCCAAGAACCCAGUUCCGUACCCCAAUUACAUCGCUUUAUGGCCCGAUUACCCGACUUUUACCCCGAUUCUUACAAAGAAAUUAGAUUAAAAUUCAAAAUUCGGGUAAUUCAUUGAUUUUUUUUUUAAAUUUCGCGCCUUUUAUCUGAAACUCACAAUUGACCGAUGACUUUGAACUAAUUUUGAUAAGAAGAAGAAUUCGCCACCCAGUUGCUCAAUUACUCACCAAAAACCAUCACUGAUUUGGUCCUCAGGACACUGGAUUAAUCUGUUACAGAGUUUAUGGAUGUGAUGGAAAAAUCAUUGUUGGAAAGCUCCGUCUUUGAAGAUAUUUAAAAAAAAAAAUAUCUCGAAAGGGGUAGAUCUUCUAAGAUCAAGAUUUUUGAAAAAAAUAUUACCUAUCUGCAGCAAGCUUGAAGUAUGCAUUAUUUUCCAAUUUUCAAGAGAAAUCAUCAUCUUAAAACACACAAAAAAAAACAUGAAAUAAUUGAACACCACAACUUCAGUACUCAUGUAUACAUCCAUUGUUUGUUUGUAAACUUCAAACAGAGGUUUAUGUCUGAGGUGAUUUUUAACUUUCCUGACCAUGUACUCUUACAGAUGCAGCACAAACAACCAAACAUAGUGAAAAAGAGCACAAGAAGAUUCUCAAAGAAAUAGGGAGCAUCAAGAAUAAAUGGAAAUAAUAUAUCCAUUUAUCCAUCAAUGGAUCCAAAUGAAAAAGUAGUUUUUAGAGGAAAAUUAAAAGAAACAACUGAGACUCACGAAAAUCUUAAAGCUGUGGCCUUUGAAAUUGAAACUACUUCCCAAAAGAUUUUACGGGAAAACAAAACCAAGAGUUUCAAAGAAAAUUCAUUUUUAUCCUUCUUCCUUCUAAAUUUUGCGAGGUGUAGAGCUCAGCUAAAGGAUGUGCAAGAAUCGGCACCUCCGCCAUUGACGAAGGACAAAGAUAAACUCUACCGCCAAAAAGAAAAUGACCUUUUCAAAUAAAAUUAAUAUCCGUUCAGACUACUUUUCGUGUCGUGUGGGAAAUUAUAUCUCAAUCAAUUAUCGAUCUCCUAUUUUUAAUUGGUAUUUGUCACAUGGUCUUCGUUUGCAGGAAUUGGGCAUAUUUGCCAUUGCCACAAUUAUUUGCCAGUGGAUUUGCAAAUGUCCAAGAAAAUGUUUUGAAAUCCACAAUUGUUUUCUUUUUAAGGAGAGAAAAAUUAAAUGAAACACAUAUCAGUUAAAAAUAGUCUCCAGUAUCUUAGCGCAAUUUGUGGACCCAAGAAAUAGUUUACGUUACGGGCGACGCACAAGGCGCAACGAUCUAUUGGGUAUCCAGUCUAAACAUGAAGCCGU